AUGAAGCAUAUGCCGAAAGAAGAUGACGAAAAGAGGAUAGAAGCUUACCUACCAGAAGUGAACUCCGGUGGUGAUAGUUUGUCAAUUUGGAUUGACUUCACUUGUAGAAUCAAACUAGUUUUCAUGGAUACAUUUAACUGUACUAAAGCUGAUUUGAAUGUGAAUACUAAAAAUUGGUUGCAUGCUAAUGAAUGUUUUGGUCGAAUGUUGAGAUUAUUUGGACUAAAAAUUGGACAGGUCUUUGAGCUGAUGCCAUGGUUGAAAUGUAUAGCUGUAUAUAUGGUUUGGCAAUGGUAA